GUUGUCGUGGCCGAGUGGUUAAGGCGAUGGACUUGAAAUCCAUUGGGGUCUCCCCUUUGCAGGUUUGAGUCCUGCUGACAACG